GGCAGGUGGAGAGAUGGAGCCCCGGGCAGGGGCCUCUAAGCACAUAACUUCAUUUACUCCCCACCCCUGCUCUGGAAGGAGGUAUUGUGUUUGUUUACAUUUUUAUAAAUGAGAAUGCUCAGAGAGGGUAGUAAACUAGCCCAAAGUCACACAGGAUGUCGAUGGGUGGUUUUGACCUUUCUCCUGCUGUUACCCAACACAGGCGCAGCCUGGAAUCCUGUGAUCUCUAGAUUAAGAGUCUCGUUUCUUGCCCAUUUUGGAAACUAUCAUUAACCUAGAACAAUGCUUCUUAGCCUCUCAGAGGAUGCCUUUGAAAGGCUGAUGAAAGCCGUGGAUUAUUUUUGCAGAAAAAAUGCACAUACCUGCAUGUGUUCACUCACACCUCGGUUCUGCCUACAACUUCAAGAUAUUUGCAGAUGCCCCAAAUGGAGGAAAAGCUGUCAGGGACAGGUGAAGCACUUUCUUCCCAGCCUGGUACCUUGUGAACAAAUUUUAAGACGCUUUUUCGUGAUCUUCUCCUUCUAAGAUUUGGCCGAUACAGUCCUCACUUCAGAAAACUGGUACUCCAGACUGAAAUCAGAAAAGUAUUCCCCAGCUGCAGAGAAACCGGGACUCUGGAGACCAUCCUUGCGUUUUGGCAAAAAGACUCUGCUGGCCGGGUGCAGUGGCUGAUGUCUGUAAUCCCAGUACUUUUGGAGGCCAAGGUGGGUGGAUCACUUGAGGUCAGGAGGUCGAGACCAGCCUGGGCAACAUGAUGAAACCCCAUCUCUACUAAAAAUACAAAAACAAUUAGCCGGGCAUGGUGGCACAUGCCUGUUACCCCAGCUACUGGGGAGGCUGAGGCAGGAGAAUCACUUGAACCCAGGAGGCAGAGGUUGCAGUGAGCCGAGAUUGUGCCAUGGCACUCCAGCCUGGGCAACAGAGUGAGACAUCAUCUCAAAAAAAUUUAAAAAGGCUUCCACAAAUAGGAGGAGAGACCAGGGAUUAGAGAGAAAGCAGCAGCAUUGCUUGGUGAUUUUUUGGCCUCCUCCUACCUCAGUUUUCCCAACUACAAAAUGGGGGCAAUGGUGUUUCUAGCCUCAUAGAGUUGUUACACCUGCACAGCACGGUACCUGGAGCAGCAAGACCAGCACAUACAUGGGAGCUGUGGUUAUUGACUCCAGGCCAGCUGCCAGAAGGGAGACCUCUGUAUCCAGAGACAUCAAGGCAUUGGCAAGGGG
rnacentral:lncRNA from 1 species